UUUGAAGAUGUCUAUCAAUAAGCAAUUGUUAAAUUUUCUAAUUUUUUCCUACAUUUUUAGCCUAGGUUAGGAGUUCUUUGGCAUAAGCAUAUUCUUUCUUUGUUUUCUAGACAAUAUCUAUUAUAUUAGUAUAUUUUAUUUUGACAUGUUUCAUAUGUAGGUAUCGGUACGAACGACAAUUACAAUCAAACAACAAAAUCCAUGAUGAUGAAAACAAAUUCCAAUAUUCAUGAUUCAAGCACGGAUGCAAUAAGAGGCAUUUGUGUACCUAGUCCCGUAUGUCGAGGAAUCGUGGUCAAUUUCUGUUAUUGUUGUAUAGGACCAAAGAGAGAAAUUUGCACGACCAAGUAUGAAUUGUGCAAAUUAAUUUGUUCUUAAAGGAAAUGUUCUACUUAAAUGUAAUAACAUCAUCAUCAUCAGAA
rnacentral:lncRNA from 1 species